rnacentral:rRNA from 1 species
CCUACGGGAGGCAGCAGUGGGGAAUUUUGGACAAUGGACGCAAGUCUGAUCCAGCCAUUCCGCGUGCAGGAUGAAGGCCCUCGGGUUGUAAACUGCUUUUGUACGGAACGAAAAGGUUUGUCUUAAUACGAUGAGCUCAUGACGGUACCGUAAGAAUAAGCACCGGCUAACUACGUGCCAGCAGCCGCGGUAAU